AAUCAACGCUGGCGGCGUGCCUAACACAUGCAAGUCGAACGAGAAAGUGGAGCAAUCCAUGAGUACAGUGGCGAACGGGUGAGUAACACGUGACUAACCUACCUUCCAGUGGGGGAUAACCUCGGGAAACCGGGGCUAAGACCGCAUAACCUCGUGAGGUGAGAUUCCUUGCGAGCAAAGGGGUAAGACGCUGGAUGAGGGGGUCGCGGCCGAUUAGCUAGUUGGCGGGGUAACGGCCCACCAAGGCGAUGAUCGGUAGCCGGCCUGAGAGGGCGCACGGCCACACGGGAACUGAAACACGGUCCAGACGCCAACGGGAGGAAGCAGUGGGGAAUUUUGCACAAUGGGGGAAACCCUGAUGCAGCAACGCCGCGUGGAGGAUGAAGUCCCUUGGGACGUAAACUCCUUUCGCCCGGGACGAUAAUGAGGGUACCGGUGGAAGAAGCCCCGGCUAACUCCGUGCCAGCCGCGGCGGUAA
rnacentral:rRNA from 1 species